AACGAACGCUGGCGGCGCGCUUAACACAUGCAAGUCGAACGAGAAGCUGUAGCAAUACAGUUGUAAAGUGGCAAACGGGUGAGUAAUGCGUGGGUAAUCUACCCUCGGGUGGGGAAUAACUCUUCGAAAGGAGAGCUAAUGCCGACAUGUGCAUCACUUUCGCAAGGAAGUGCUGGAAAGCCGUACCGUGGAUACGGCGCCCAAGGAUGAGCUCACGUCCUACAG
rnacentral:rRNA from 1 species